CGGCAUAUCAGAGUUUUCAUCGCCUCCCGUCGGCCGGACGUUCUAGCUGUUUCGUUUCCGUCUCUGCAAAACCCUAGCCGCCGUCGUCAUCAGAUAGAAUCAUGUUGUUGGUCUUUCCAAUUUACCAACAAAACAUAUGGUUAUACAACUUCAAAUUACCAAAAGUAGCCUAAACUAAGCGGAGUAGUAGAGGAGAUUGGACGGAUUGCGUGGCCGGUUUUCAGUAAGGUUCUUGGGACAACGGGGGUUGUACUUGCUGAUUCAAGUGCCGUUUUGCUUACCGUUAAUGCUGCUUUGGCGGAGCUUUCAGAUCGGGUAUUUGUUGGCUGUGGGGUUCAAGAUUUUCUUGGGUAAUGAUUAUAAGAAGACAUUGCGCUCCCGCUGAAUAUACUUCUAAAUGAAUACAGGUUUGCAUUCAUAUUCAUCAUAGUAGUGUUUAGUACAUAAAAUACUUAAAUCCAAAUAAUGACAACCAAAUUUUGUUCAUUGAAUACCGCUGUAAAAGGCUUCAAAUCGUAAAAAAAAGUUCCAUUUAUUUAUGUC